AUAUCUGGAAGAAAUUAUUACAUCAAAAAGUGACAUUGAAUUUAAAAAAAAAAAUAAAUUACACUAAAGCCUUACACUCGAUUAAAUUAAAUAAUUAACGAGAAUGACACAUAUUUUAUUUCCAUAAAAGCGAACGACAACUGGCGCACUGAUAUGAAUUGUAGAGCGUACUCUGGUCGAAUUCUCCAGCAGAAGAACUUCUAUCCUCUGCUCUCAACUCGGGUGGAGGAUUAUCUAGAGGGAAAUGAAAUGAUGAGAAUUACGAGGUCACCCGCUGGGAGAAGUUCUCAUUAUCGAGAGUGGGCUGUGCUGGUGUACACCCUCGUACUUGCUGCUACUUGGAGAACGUGUAGUGCUGAUGGUAUUACUAUGGUAGUGUCGCACACAAAAUUUACACUACUAGAGACUAGAGACCAGAGGCUAGAGGCUAGAGGCCAGAGGUAGAAUAAACGCUAUAGGGUCUAUCUCUCACCUACUCAAUACUACUCCACUUUGGAUGGGAAGCCUCGUUGUUCAAGUGUCGGCACGUAAUCAACGAUUAAUCGAAUCCAAGUGCUAAUAAAUUGAAAAAUAUAAUUAAAUAUUAAAAAUACUUGGCUCUUA